GGUUAAGCGACUAAGCGUACACGGUGGAUGCCUAGGCAAUCAGAGGCGAUGAAGGACGUGCUAAUCUGCGAUAAGCGUCGGUAAGGUGAUAUGAACCGUGAUAACCGACGAUUUCCGAAUGGGGAAACCCAGUGCAAUUCGUUGCACUAUCGUUUGAUGAAUACAUAGUCAAACGAAGCGAACCGGGGGAACUGAAACAUCUCAGUACCCCGAGGAAAAGAAAUCAACCGAGAUUCCCCUAGUAGCGGCGAGCGAACGGGGAGCAGCCCAGAGUCUUAAUCAGCAUUAGCAUCAGGAGAACGGUCUGGAAAGGCCGGCAGUAAAGGGUGAUAGCCCCGUAUCCGAAGGUGUUAGUGUUGUGAACUCGACGAGUAGGGCGGGACACGUGUUAUCCUGUCUGAAUAUGGGGGGACCAUCCUCCAAGGCUAAAUACUCCUGAUUGACCGAUAGUGAACCAGUACCGUGAGGGAAAGGCGAAAAGAACCCCGGCGAGGGGAGUGAAAUAGAACCUGAAACCGUGUACGUACAAGCAGUGGGAGCCCCACCACCAAAGCAUUUUCUGGUGUUGAGGACAACUUUGAAGUGACAUUCAACACGCGUUGGCGGAGCGUUUUUUGCGACGCCCAACACACAAAACAAGCAGUGAAUGUGCUUUGGGGUGGGGUGACUGCGUACCUUUUGUAUAAUGGGUCAGCGACUUAUAUUCUGUAGCAAGGUUAACCGUAUAGGGGAGCCGUAGGGAAACCGAGUCUUAACUGGGCGAAU
rnacentral:rRNA from 1 species